rnacentral:lncRNA from 1 species
GGCUGGGCAUGGUGGCACACAACUGUAGCAGCUACUUGAAAGGCUGAAGCAGGAGGAACUCCUGAGCCCAGGAGUUUGAGGCUGCAGUGACCUAGGAUCUUGCCACUGCACUUCAGCCUGGACAAGUCAGACCCCUUCUGCUUCAAAAAAAAAAAAAAAAAAAAAAGUGGGAAAGGGAAAUAAAAAUGAUUCAAAACCCAAAAAUAACGUGGAAAGCAGGUAAUUCAAAUACACUCUAUCUCAUCUUUUAUAACAUACAACAUCUACAAAAUGAGGGUGCUGUGUUACAGGGUAUCUAAAAGUUCUUCCAGCACUAAAAAACUGCGUCCCAAAAUGAUGUGUUCUGUUACACAUAUCUACGCUAGCAAGUUUGUUUUUUUUUUUUUCUUUUGAGACGGAGUCUUGCUCUGUCGCCAGGCUGGAGUACAGUGGCGUGAUCUAAGCUCACUGCAAACUCCCCUGGGUGACAGAGCAAGACUCCGUCUCAAGAAAUAAAUAAA